rnacentral:rRNA from 1 species
UACGUAGGGUGCGAGCGUUGUCCGGAAUUACUGGGCGUAAAGAGCUCGUAGGUGGUUUGUCGCGUUGUUCGUGAAAACUCACAGCUUAACUGUGGGCGUGCGGGCGAUACGGGCAGACUGGAGUACUGCAGGGGAGACUGGAAUUACUGGUGUAGCAGUGAAAUGCGUAGAUAUCAGUAGGAACACCAAUGGCGAAGGCAGCUUGCUGGCAUGUAUCUGACGCUAAGGCACGAAAGCGUGGGGAGCGAACAGG